rnacentral:rRNA from 1 species
GAAUAUUGCGCAAUGGGCGAAAGCCUGACGCAGCGACGCCGCGUGGAGGAUGAAGGUUUUAGGAUCGUAAACUCCUGUUCAGUGGGAAGAAAUACCUAACCUUAAUACAGUUAGGGAAUGACGGUACCGCUAAAGAAAGCACCGGCUAACUUCGGGCCAGCCGCCGCGGCAAUACGAGGGGUGCAAGCGUUAUUCGGAAUCAUUGGGCGUAAAGGGUGUGCAGACGGUAUAGUAAGUUAUCUGUUAAAUUCUCCGGCCUAACCGGAGCUCAGCAGAUAAAACUGCCAUACUAGAGGAUGGAAGAGAGAAGUGGAAUUCUCGGAGUAGCGGUAAAAUGCGUAGAUCUCGGGAGGAACACCGAUGGCGAAGGCAGCUUCUUGGUCCAUUCCUGACGUUGAGGCACGAAAGCGUGGGGAGCAAACAGG